GGGAGCAGCUCAGUGGUGGAGCAUGUGCUUAGUAUGCAUAAGGUCCUGGGUUCAAUCCCUAGCAAUCCCC
rnacentral:tRNA from 1 species